GCCAAAUCAGCUCACUGUCACUCCUCGGGCUCCAGGAUGCUUCUCACAGCCUGCAGCACCCUCCCAGGUGCCUCACUUCCGCUGAAAUGGAAAAACAGCCGACCACGCCUAAAUGGGAAGAGAGCAUCAUUGGUGAGCAGAACAGCCAGUGACCACUUGGAAACUCAAGGAAAUCCAUUGCUUCCAAAUUAUUCACUCCUCCAACCUGGCACCCGGUUUCAACCGCUGAUGGAGUGAGUCUGGAAAAUUGAUUUCGUUUUUCGUAUUUCCAUUUUUAAUAAGUUGGAAUACAGCAAAUGGAACAAGUCGUCUCCUGAAUAACAAUGCAUUGAACCAAUUCACGCCUUUUUCCACAAAAAAAAGAUGUCAAGGAGCAUGAAGAACACUCCUGUUUCUUGCAGAGCUUCCUGUGCAACAUCUCCUCCCAAAGGACUGCAGCCUCUUGCAGCUCCUUUCCUGAUCUCCACACAGCUAGACAGCUCACUUCUUCCUGCCCCUUCUGCCAGCUUCUUUCUGCCUUACAAGCCUUUGCAAGCUCCACUCCUGAUUGCAGUAGAGCUUUGUCCUCAUGCUCUGCACCAGGGAACAGCAUAGGAGCCCUGUCAGUGACUAAGGAUUGCAUCAAGGCCAGGCCACAGCAGCUGAAGAAUUGUGAAGGAUCACAGCGGGAGCAGAGAACUGUCACAUCCUGAGUGCUGUAAGGCACAGUCAUAAACACUCCCCCACCUAUAGCUGUUGUGCAGGGAGUGUUCACUGUGGUGACUCUUGUGUACUAUUGGGGCUGCUGGAAUGAAUCAAAGGAAUUCAAGGGCUGCUGAAACACAUUCAGUUCUUGAUGUGUGCUGAUGCCCUAGAACCAAAGUAGAAAAAGAGCUGCCUUGGUUCAUUAAGCCACUUCUGCAUCCCAUCCCCCAUCUGUGCCUUUGAGAGAUGAUACAGCUCAGCAUUUGGUGUUUCGUUAUCCAAGCCAGCAGAUGUGGUAUAAAUCUAAAAGGUUUUCAUGGCAGGAAGUGGUAGGUGGAGAUAUCCUAAGGGCUGGAGCAAGGCUAAGACACAGCUGCCAGGGAAACUCGGGUGGGUGAGUGGGUGGGAGGAGGCAAGAACAUCCUGGCAGUAGAGAGCCUUCCCAGGGAAGAACACAGCUGAGAGAAAGUUAUUGAGAGAGCUGAACUGUGCAGCAAGGAUGGGCUUUGUCCAGUGCUCGCUUUAAGACCAGAUGUGGAACACAACUCCCUCCACUGCCUGGUAGUGAAGUGAAACAGAAGUAUCAAUGUCCUGAUUUACUUCUCCACCUUUCUGCUCUCUCCAAGUAGAAGAGGAAACCUUAUGGAAUGAGGGCAUUAUUUCCUUAAAACAAAAACCAACCUUUUCACUCCUGCCAGUAUUCCUUUGGCAUUGUUAGUCAGUUGUGCUGUUGUUACCAGCAAAAAAAAGUCUGAGGAACUCCAGUCUCUACUGGAGCUGAAAAAUGUUCUGAACUGAGACCUAGCCCUCAACUUUAGAAAUGGAAAGUGAGUGUCAGAUGACAUUCAUGGAAAUUCCAGCUGUGUUGCCUUCUUUAUAGAGCCUAACUGUGUUUGUUUUUGAAGGCAACUCUGAGGAAGCAUGACUAGGAGGCUGCUGGCAUCUUCCAAGAACUGAGUGGGCUGAAACACCUAGAAGCCACUGAUGUCUUCGAUGUUUAAGGAGGAUGUUUAAGAUGUAGGCUGGUCAGAGGCCAUGCUCCGACUAAAUCUGAUUGCUUACCAACUUUUCCAAGGGAAAAAAAUUACUAAUAAUUUGGUCCUGAUUUUAUUGGGAGAUCUUGCAACAGUAAUUGAGAGGUCUGCCUGUGGGCUAAAACAGCUCUCAGAAAGUUGCAAGUAAGAACAUGAUACAAAGCACUUCUAUAGGAGAAAAAUCCUAACUCUAGGUGGGAACCGUAGACUGGCACAUUUUCAUCUGUGUCCAGGUGCUUCCAAGCUGGCAUUACAAGUAACAUAGAGAUAGAGAUGUCUCUGCUGGAACUGGAGUGCAAGAUCAUGUCAGCUAUGGGGUCUAAAGCAGUUUUUCACAUUCAUGUGAGUGUAACACUCUUUGACCUUGGUUGUAGGUUCAUAAAGCCUGUUACUCAGCAAAAGGCUAAUACAGCAAAAGCAGAUUACACAGUGGUUAAGACUUUUUUCCCCCCUUUCCUAAAUGAGUUGUACACAUCUGGGUUUGGUCCCUUUGUUCUGGGAGCAGUAGCAAAUAUUUGCCAUGUGAACAUGCUCUCUACAAACUUCAGGCAGUUUGUAUUUUUUAAAAACUGCUUUUCAGCUUGUUGCUGCAGACAAACGGGUUCUCCCAAAUCAAUUGUGGCAGACAAUACAAAGAAGCUAGAGAAACAAGCCUGCCUACUGGGACUUGAGAUUUUGUUUCCAUAUCCUUUUGCAAAAACAAAACUGAAAGCGCAGGUCUUUCAAAAUGCUGAAGUGAAUGUGUUCAUCUAGGAAAGUAUAGUUAAGUCUCUUCUAGUGGAAAAAUGAUUCAUUUGACUUACAGUAGGAAAAGCAGAUGAUUUCCUUUGUUUAAGACUCAGUGGAGAAUUCCUUAUUUGGGAACUGUGCAGUUCCCCAUAUUUGGGAGAAUCUGAUUGCUGUUUCCUAAGGGUGUGUUUCUAACUGUGAGAACAGCCUAGAUUUAAAAAGCAGAGGACUUUCUUCCUGCUAGGAAUGCAGGCUACCAAGCUGCUUCAGCUGCUUCUCUGUCCUACUGAACAGUUGUCUUUCAUCUGAAAAUUUAAUUUAGUUAUCUGUUUGGAGAAUACAGAUUGAAUGACCAUCUUGUUACUGUGUCUUCUUUGGACUGUAAACUUUAAACAGAUAGUAAUUUUAGCCAUUUAUCUGAAACAACAGGUGGUUUCAUUAGGAAAGUACAGGACGUAGAAAUAGACAAGAGAUUAUGCAGCUGGAAUAAAUUACAUGUCUCCAUGUAAAAGUCUGUAUUUACCAUGGCUCCAAGAGUGUUUUGCAUUCAUUCACUAAAGCAACAGCAUGGGAUUUUGUAGAAUGGUGUUUUUAUGCAUGGCAGAAAACUAGUAAAUGUCAGUGUGACUGGGAAAAUUCCUUAGGAUUUAUGUUUUGACUUAAUGCUUAAUCAGACUUUGCAAAAGUCAACCAGUCUGAUAGAGUGGUGAGAUGGGAGUCAGGUCAGACACAAAAUCCCUAUUAUAACAUCAGUAAUAACAUUAUAGCACCAUAACUAGUAGCUUUGUUUUCAAAGUGUGCUGUAAAAUGUGCUCUGAGUUGAAAUAUAGUGUAUGUAAUUAGAUUUUCCUGCAAAACGUGUUUCUGGAGGGCUAAUAUUCCCAACUGCUCUGAGUCAAAAAAAAAAGAAAGAAAUUCUGAGAAAAGCUAUAGAAAACACAUCAGAGCUCCACGCAGAAGGCAAAAAACCUUUUUGCAAAGUUUGCAAUCUUCAUGAUCUAAUUAACCUGUAGGUACUUCUGAUUUCUCCAUUUCUGCACUGUCAGAGUACAGUUGCAUCUCCAAAAAUUUGCUGGGAUCAAAUAUAAAACAACUGUUUGACUUUGUCAGAAUUGCAUUGAAUAUGUGCCUGUUACUGCUUUGAUCACUAUAUUUUCUCCUUGUGUGGCUGUGGCAUUCCUUGGACGGGAUCUACAAGCCCAGGAGCUGGGUGAUGUGACCUGGGCAAAUGCUGCAGGUUGCAAGAUUAGAGGGAACUCAUUCAGGUAGGUAGAUAAGCACAGGGCUUCUCUUUCUUGUACGACAGUCAUGGUCAGAUGUCUUCUCCAAUUUUAAAGAGCUUGUGGGACAGAAGAAGUUACUGGUCUUCAUCCUAUUAUGGAACCAUUUUGCCUGGUAAAAGGUAGCCAUAGACCUUAUUUUCAUGUUCUCUGUGUGGCUGGUAGCUGCAUUUAAGAAAGACACAGUAUGGAGACUGCACAUGGGCUGCACAUUCUGCUUCCAGAGAAGUUUCUCCUUGCAAAAUGAAGAGCUAUUCCUGAAACAGCUGGGGGUCAUGCUGUAUUGUCAGUCCCCCCUGAGGACUGAUGGGGAAAUUAGUCAUCUACCAUGGAGCAAUAGGAACAAAAAGAUGAUAAACAAAAGCAAAGUCACAUGAAUUUUUGUUUGUUUUUAUUUCUAAACCUGUACUUUCUUCUGUUAAGAGAGUCAGGAGCCAAGGAUUUUGAAGGGAGGUGAGGUACAAAAUCAUCCUGUUUAAUGUCUUUAUUGAUGGCCUAGAGGAGGGGAUUGAGUGCAGCCUUAGUAAGUUGGCAGAGGACUCCAAGUUGGUUGGGAGUGUUGAUCUGCUGGAGGGCAGGAAAGCUCUGCACAGGGAUCUGGACAGGCUGGAUCUAUGGGCUGAGCCCACCUGUACAAGGUUCUACAAGGCCAAGUGCUGGGUCCUGCACUUGGAUCAUGACAACCUCAGGCAGUGCUACAGGCUUGGGAAAGAGUGGCUGGAAGGCAGCCCAGUGGAAAGGGACAUGGGGGUGCUUAUUGAGAGCCCAACAGAACAUGAAUCACUGUGUGCCCAGGUCGCCAAGAAGGCCAGUGGCAUCCUGGCUUGUGUCAGCAAAGGUGUGGCCAGCAGGAUCAGGGCAGCGAUCAUCCCCCUGUACUCAGCACUGGUGAGGCUGCACUGAACUGUGUCCAGUUUUGGGCCACUCACUACAAGAAGGACAUUGAGAGUGUUUCCAGAGAAGGGCAAUGGAGCUGGGGAAGGGUCUGGAACACAAGUCCUAAGGGGAUCAGCUGAGGAAAUGGGGAUUGUUUAGCUUGAAGAAAAGGAGGUUCAGGGGAGACCUUAUUACCCUGUACAGCUGCCUGAAAGGAGGGUGUAGCCAGGUGGGGGUUGGUCUCUUCUCUGAGACAACCAGCAACAGGGCAAGAGGGCAUAACCUCAGUCAUAACCAGAGAGGUUCAGGUUUGCCAUCAGGAGGAAUUUCUUCACUGAUAGAGUGGUUUAAGCACUGGAUCAGGCAGCCCAGGGAAUUGGUGGAGUCACCAUCCCUGGGAAUGUUUUAAAAAAAGGCUCACUUAGUGCCAUGGUUUAGUUGGCAUGGUGGUGUUUGGUGAAAGUUUGGACUCAAUUGAUUUGGAGGACUUCUCCAAACAUUUUCAGAUAAAUGGCUAAAAUUACUAUCUGAUUCUGUAAUUCUAUGAAAAUUGUAGGUGUCCUUUGCUCUUUCUGCUCUCCUCUCCAGUAGAGUAUUGCAAUUUCUUUUUUCCUUUCUGCACAUCAGAUCAAGUGAACUAGAGUGUCUGUACUGCUGCAGAGAAAUGUGAAAAAUAUACUACAGCCUCACAUUACCUGGCACCCACAGGCUUCCCUCAUCACUUGGCAGCCAGGCAGAGCAGGGCUGUACCCACCCAUGCUAGGGGCACAGUUUUGCCUUUAGAACUCUGUAGUUAAAGUGUAAAUAUGUUUCCUAGAUUCCUCCUUAUGAUAGCAUGAAGAUACCUGAAACUUUGCAGUAUCUAACUGAUACUGAAGUAUUCUGCUGCUUACACUUGGCAAGUCCCUUCAUUACUAGUUCUUCCAAUAUUUCGUGCUUCCACAGAGAUUUGGCCCUCUAAUCACUUUUGUGUUCCUGCUAGUUUUUCAUUACAGCUAUUAUUUUCCUUUCAAAGGAAUUGUGUAAACUACUUCAGUGCAAAGAUCUCUCAAUGUAAAUCAGUCUCCUUGUUUUUUAUGAGUUUGCAGUUUUGGCAGUAUUGGUGAUUUUCUAAGAGAUCAGAGACUUUCAAGUCUUUAAUAUACAACUGUUAAUUAGAUUCUGCUGUCAUUAAAUCUAAAUAAAGAUUUUCUAAGAUAUUUA